rnacentral:rRNA from 1 species
UACGUAGGGUGCGAGCGUUGUCCGGAUUUAUUGGGCGUAAAGAGCUCGUAGGCGGUUUGUCGCGUCGGCCGUGAAAUCUCCACGCUUAACGUGGAGCGUGCGGUCGAUACGGGCAGACUUGAGUUCGGUAGGGGAGACUGGAAUUCCUGGUGUAGCGGUGAAAUGCGCAGAUAUCAGGAGGAACACCGGUGGCGAAGGCGGGUCUCUGGGCCGAUACUGACGCUGAGGAGCGAAAGCGUGGGGAUCAAACAGG